AUUGAACGCUGGCGGCAUGCCUUACACAUGCAAGUCGAACGGCAGCAUGGGUGCUUGCACCUGAUGGCGAGUGGCGAACGGGUGAGUAAUGCAUCGGAACGUACCCGGAAGUGGGGGAUAACGUAGCGAAAGUUACGCUAAUACCGCAUAUUCUGUGAGCAGGAAAGUGGGGGAUCGCAAGACCUCGCGCUUCCGGAGCGGCCGAUGUCGGAUUAGCUAGUUGGCGGGGUAAAGGCCCCCCAAGGCAACGAUCCGUAGCGGGUCUGAGAGGAUGAUCGGCCACGCUGGGACGGAGACACGGCCCAGACUCCUACGGGAGGCAGCAGUGGGGAAUUUUGGACAAUGGGGGCAAGCCUGAUCCAGCCAUGCCGCGUGAGGGAAGAAGGCCUUCGGGUUGUAAAGCUCUUUCGGCCGGGAAGAAAUCGCACAGGUUAAUACCUUGUGUGGAUGACGGUACCUGAAUAAGAAGCACCGGCUAACUACGUGCCAGCCGCCGCAGUAAUAC
rnacentral:rRNA from 1 species